rnacentral:rRNA from 1 species
AGUUUGAUCAUGGCUCAGAACGAACGCUGGCGGCAUGCCUAACACAUGCAAGUCGAACGAGACCUUCGGGGUCUAGUGGCGCACGGGUGCGUAACGCGUGGGAAUCUGCCCUUGGGUUCGGAAUAACAGUUAGAAAUGACUGCUAAUACCGGAUAAUGUCUUCGGACCAAAGAUUUAUCGCCCAGGGAUGAGCCCGCGUAGGAUUAGCUAGUUGGUGAGGUAAAGGCUCACCAAGGCGACGAUCCUUAGCUGGUCUGAGAGGAUGAUCAGCCACACUGGGACUGAGACACGGCCCAGACUCCUACGGGAGGCAGCAGUGGGGAAUAUUGGACAAUGGGCGAAAGCCUGAUCCAGCAAUGCCGCGUGAGUGAUGAAGGCCUUAGGGUUGUAAAGCUCUUUUACCCGGGAUGAUAAUGACUGUACCGGAAGAAUAAGCCCCGGCUAACUUCGUG